CCCGCACAAGCGGUGGAGUAUGUUGUUAAUUCGAGGAUACACGAAGAACCUUACCAGGUCUUGACAUACCAUUGACCGGUCUAGAGAUAGACUUUUCGCUUUCGGGCGACAAUGGAUACAGGUGGUGCAUGGUUGUCGUCAGCUCGUGCCGUGAGGUGUUGGGUUAAGUCCCGCAACGAGCGCAACCCUCGUGGCUAGUUGAACUUCUCUAGCCAGACCGCCCCGCAAAACGGGGAGGAAGGUGGGGAUGACGUCAAGUCAGCAUGGCCCUUAUACCCUGGGCUACACACACGCUACAAUGGGUGGUACAAUUGGUUGCGACAGAGCGAUCUGGAGCUAAUCUAUAAAGCCAUCCUCAGUUCGGAUUGCAGGCUGCAACUCGCCUGCAUGAAGCCGGAGUUGCUAGUAACCGCAGGUCAGCAUACUGCGGUGAAUACGUUCUCGGGCCUU
rnacentral:rRNA from 1 species